AUCAGAGCGUUGCGGCAUAUUACAUUUAAAGUGAGACUUCCGACCCUCUCCCUCCCUAACGAAUUCUUCUUCACGGAUCGAUGAAUUAAAUGGCGUACAAGAGUUGCCUGGCUGUUUGAUCAUUUGUGAGUGCAUAACCUAACGACUUGAAUUAUGCCUUCGCCUUGUGAAUCUUGUAAAGGAACAUGCACCGACGGAAAAUCAAAUUGUGGGGAUAAUUGUAAAUGUGGCCCCGACUGCAAAUGUUCAGGAAAAAAAGGAAACUAAAUCCGUAAGGUGGAGGACCAUCAACUAGAAUAUGCACAUCCUUAGAAAGGAGCAUCAAGUUUUGAUGCAGUAGCUUGCUCUUAUUAACUAAUAAUAAUCGCAAAUAUACAGAUGUGAAUCCGA